rnacentral:rRNA from 1 species
UACGUAGGGUGCGAGCGUUAUCCGGAUUUACUGGGCGUAAAGCGCGUGUAGGUGGUUGCGCAAGUUAGUUGUGAAAUCUCCCGGCUCAACCGGGAAACUGCAGCUAAUACUGCGUGGCUAGAGUGGCAGAGAGGAAAGUGGAAAUUCCCGGUGUAGUAGUGAAAAUGCGUAGAUAUCGGGAGGAACACCAGCGGCGAAGGCGGCCGACUGGGCCGACUCUGACGCUGAGGCGCGAAGGC